UGGGUCAGGGUUAGGUUUAGGGUUGGAGCUAGGGUUAGGGUUAGGGUUAGUGUUGGAGCUAGGGUUAGGGUUGGGCUUGGAGCUAGGAUUUGUCUGAGUGCAAUGAACCAACUCCCGAGUCUCUAGGACGUUCCUAAAAAAAUUUGAUUUUUUCCCAUAGGAAUGCAUGGGUUAGGGUUAGGGUUAGGGUUGGAGCUAGGGUUAGGGUUAGGGUUAGGGUUGGAGUUAAGGUUAGUGUUGGAGCUAGGGUUAGGGUUGGGCUUGGAGCUAGGAUUUUUCUGAGUGCAGUGAACCAACUCCCGAGUCUCUAGGACGUUCCUAAAAAAAUUUGAUUUUUUCCCAUAGGAAUGCAUGGGUUAGGGUUAUGGUUAGGGUUAGGGUUGGAGCUAGGGUUAGGGUUAGGGUUAGGGUUGGAGUUAGGGUUAGUGUUGGAGCUAGGGUUAGGGUUGGGCUUGGAGCUAGGAUUUUUCUGAGUGCAAUGAACCAACCCCCGAGUCUCUAGGACGUUCCUAGAAAAAUUUGAUUUUUUCCCAUAGGAAUGCAUGGGUUAGGGUUAUGGUUAGGGUUAGGGUUGGAGCUAGGGUUAGGGUUAGGGUUAGGGUUGGAGUUAGGGUUAGUGUUGGAGCUAGGGUUAGGGUUGGGCUUGGAGCUAGGAUUUUUCUGAGUGCAAUGAACCAACUCCCGAGUCUCUAGGACGUUCCUAAAAAAAUUUGAUUUUUUCCCAUAGGAAUGCAUGGGUUAGGGUUAGGGUUAGGGUUGGAGCUAGGGUUAGGGUUAGGGUUGGAGUUAGGGUUAGUGUUGGAGCUAGGGUUAGGGUUGGGCUUGGAGCUAGGAUUUUUCUGAGUGCAAUGAACCAACUCCCGAGUCUCUAGGACGUUCCUAAAAAAAUUUGAUUUUUCCCAUAGGAAUGCAUGGGUCAGGGUUAGGGUUAGGGUUGGAGCUAGGGUUAGGGUUAGGGUUAGGGUUGGAGUUAGGGUUAGUGUUGGAGCUAGGGUUAGGGUUGGGCUUGGAGCUAGGAUUUUUCUGAGUGCACUGAACCAACUCCCGAGUCUCUAGGACAUUCCUAAAAAAAUUUGAUUUUUUCCCAUAGGAAUGCAUGGGUUAGGGUUAGGGUUAGGGUUGGAGCUAGGGUUAGGGUUAGGGUUAGGGUUGGAGUUAGGGUUAGUGUUGGAGCUAGGGUUAGGGUUGGGCUUGGAGCUAGGAUUUUUCUGAGUGCACUGAACCAACUCCCGAGUCUCUAGGACAUUCCUAAAAAAAUUUGAUUUUUUCCCAUAGGAAUGCAUGGGUUAGGGUUAUGGUUAGGGUUAGGGUUGGAGCUAGGGUUAGGGUUAGGGUUAGGGUUGGAGUUAGGGUUAGGGUUAGUGUUGGAGCUAGGGUUAGGGUUGGGCUUGGAGCUAGGAUUUUUCUGAGUGCAAUGAACCAACUCCCGAGUCUCUAGGACGUUCCCUAAAAAAAUUUGAUUUUUUCCCAUAGGAAUGCAUGGGUUAGGGUUAGGGUUAGGGUUAGGGUUGGAGCUAGGGUUAGGGUUAGGGUUAGGGUUGGAGUUAGGGUUAGUGUUGGAGCUAGGGUUAGGGUUGGGCUUGGAGCUAGGAUUUUUCUGAGUGCAAUGAACCAACUCCCGAGUCUCUAGGACGUUCCAAAAAAAAUUUGAUUUUUUCCCAUAGGAAUGCAUGGGUUAGGGUUAUGGUUAGGGUUAGGGUUGGAGCUAGGGUUAGGGUUAGGGUUAGGGUUGGAGUUAGGGUUAGUGUUGGCGCUAGGGUUAGGGUUGGGCUUGGAGCUAGGAUUUUUCUGAGUGCAAUGAACCAACUCCCGAGUCUCUAGGACGUUCCUAAAAAAAUUUGAUUUUUUCCCAUAGGAAUGCAUGGGUUAGGGUUAGGGUUAGGGUUGGAGCUAGGGUUAGGGUUAGGGUUAGGGUUGGAGUUAGGGUUAGUGUUGGAGCUAGGGUUAGGGUUGGGCUUGGAGCUAGGAUUUUUCUGAGUGCACUGAACCAACUCCCGAGUCUCUAGGACAUUCCUAAAAAAAUUUGAUUUUUUUCCCAUAGGAAUGCAUGGGUUAGGGUUAUGGUUAGGGUUAGGGUUGGAGCUAGGGUUAGGGUUAGGGUUAGGGUUGGAGUUAGGGUUAGUGUUGGAGCUAGGGUUAGGGUUGGGCUUGGAGCUAGGACUUUUCUGAGUGCAAUGAACCAACUCCCGAGUCUCUAGGACGUUCCCUAAAAAAAUUUGAUUUUUUCCCAUAGGAAUGCAUGGGUUAGGGUUAGGGUUAGGGUUGGAGCUAGGGUUAGGGUUAGGGUUAGGGUUGGAGUUAGGGUUAGUGUUGGAGCUAGGGUUAGGGUUGGGCUUGGAGCUAGGAUUUUUCUGAGUGCAAUGAACCAACUCCCGAGUCUCUAGGACGUUCCUAAAAAAAUUUGAUUUUUUCCCAUAGGAAUGCAUGGGUUAGGGUUAGGGUUAGGGUUGGAGCUAGGGUUAGGGUUAGGGUUAGGGUUGGAGUUAGGGUUAGUGUUGGAGCUAGGGUUAGGGUUGGGCUUGGAGCUAGGAUUUUUCUGAGUGCAAUGAACAAACUCCCGAGUCUCUAGGAAGUUCCUAAAAAAAUUUGAUUUUUUCCCAUAGGAAUGCAUGGGUUAGGGUUAGGGUUAGGGUUGGAGCUAGGGUUAGGGUUAGGGUUAGGGUUGGAGUUAGGGUUAGUGUUGGAGCUAGGGUUAGGGUUGGGCUUGGAGCUAGGAUUUUUCUGAGUGCAGUGAACCAACUCCCGAGUCUCUAGGACGUUCCUAAAAAAAUUUGAUUUUUUCCCAUAGGAAUGCAUGGGUCAGGGUUAGGGUUAGGGUUGGAGCUAGGGUUAGGGUUAGGGUUAGGGUUGGAGUUAGGGUUAGUGUUGGAGCUAGGGUUAGGGUUGGGCUUGGAGCUAGGAUUUUUCUGAGUGCAAUGAACCAACUCCCGAGUCUCUAGGACGUUCCUAAAAAAAUUUGAUUUUUUCCCAUAGGAAUGCAUGGGUUAGGGUUAGGGUUAGGGUUGGAGCUAGGGUUAGGGUUAGGGUUAGGGUUGGAGUUAGGGUUAGUGUUAGAGCUAGGGUAAGGUUUGGGCUUGGAGCUAGGAUUUUUCUGAGUGCAAUGAACCAACUCCCGAGUCUCUAGGACGUUCCUAAAAAAAUUUGAUUUUUUCCCAUAGGAAUGCAUGGGUUAGGGUUAGGGUUAGGGUUGGAGCUAGGGUUAGGGUUAGGGUUAGGGUUGGAGUUAGGGUUAGUGUUGGAGCUAGGGUUAGGGUUGGGCUUGGAGCUAGGAUUUUUCUGAGUGCAAUGAACCAACUCCCGAGUCUCUAGGACGUUCCUAAAAAAAUUUGAUUUUUUCCCAUAGGAAUGCAUGGGUUAGGGUUAGGGUUGGAGCUAGUGUUAGGGUUAGGGUUGGAGCUAGGGUUAGGGUUAGGGUUAGGGUUGGAGUUAGGGUUAGUGUUGGAGCUAGGGUUAGGUUUGGGCUUGGAGCUAGGAUUUUUCUGAGUGCAAUGAACCAACUCCCGAGUCUCUAGGACGUUCCUAUAAAAAUUUGAUUUUUUCCCAUAGGAAUGCAUGGGUUAGGGUUAGGGUUAGGGUUGGAGCUAGGGUUAGGGUUAGGGUUAGGGUUGGAGUUAGGGUUAGUGUUGGAGCUAGGGUUAGGGUUGGGCUUGGAGCUAGGAUUUUUCUGAGUGCAAUGAACCAACUCCCGAGUCUCUAGGACGUUCCUAAAAAAAUUUGAUUUUUUCCCAUAGGAAUGCAUGGGUUAGGGUUAUGGUUAGGGUUAGGGUUGGAGCUAGGGUUAGGGUUAGGGUUAGGGUUGGAGUUAGGGUUAGUGUUGGAGCUAGGGUUAGGGUUGGGCUUGGAGCUAGGACUUUUCUGAGUGCAAUGAACCAACUCCCGAGUCUCUAGGACGUUCCCUAAAAAAAUUUGAUUUUUUCCCAUAGGAAUGCAUGGGUUAGGGUUAGGGUUAGGGUUGGAGCUAGGGUUAGGGUUAGGGUUAGGGUUGGAGUUAGGGUUAGUGUUGGAGCUAGGGUUAGGGUUGGGCUUGGAGCUAGGAUUUUUCUGAGUGCAAUGAACCAACUCCCGAGUCUCUAGGACGUUCCUAAAAAAAUUUGAUUUUUUCCCAUAGGAAUGCAUGGGUUAGGGUUAGGGUUAGGGUUGGAGCUAGGGUUAGGGUUAGGGUUAGGGUUGGAGUUAGGGUUAGUGUUGGAGCUAGGGUUAGGGUUGGGCUUGGAGCUAGGAUUUUUCUGAGUGCAAUGAACCAACUCCCGAGUCUCUAGGAAGUUCCUAAAAAAAUUUGAUUUUUUCCCAUAGGAAUGCAUGGGUUAGGGUUAGGGUUAGGGUUGGAGCUAGGGUUAGGGUUAGGGUUAGGGUUGGAGUUAGGGUUAGUGUUGGAGCGAGGGUUAGGGUUGGGCUUGGAGCUAGGAUUUUUCUGAGUGCAGUGAACCAACUCCCGAGUCUCUAGGACGUUCCUAAAAAAAUUUGAUUUUUUCCCAUAGGAAUGCAUGGGUCAGGGUUAGGGUUAGGGUUGGAGCUAGGGUUAGGGUUAGGGUUAGGGUUGGAGUUAGGGUUAGUGUUGGAGCUAGGGUUAGGGUUGGGCUUGGAGCUAGGAUUUUUCUGAGUGCAAUGAACCAACUCCCGAGUCUCUAGGACGUUCCUAAAAAAAUUUGAUUUUUUCCCAUAGGAAUGCAUGGGUUAGGGUUAGGGUUAGGGUUGGAGCUAGGGUUAGGGUUAGGGUUAGGGUUGGAGUUAGGGUUAGUGUUAGAGCUAGGGUAAGGUUUGGGCUUGGAGCUAGGAUUUUUCUGAGUGCAAUGAACCAACUCCCGAGUCUCUAGGACGUUCCUAAAAAAAUUUGAUUUUUUCCCAUAGGAAUGCAUGGGUUAGGGUUAGGGUUAGGGUUGGAGCUAGGGUUAGGGUUAGGGUUAGGGUUGCAGUUAGGGUUAGUGUUGGAGCUAGGGUAAGGGUUGGGCUUGGAGCUAGGAUUUUUCUGAGUGCAAUGAACCAACUCCCGAGUCUCUAGGACGUUCCUAAAAAAAUUUGAUUUUUUUCCAUAGGAAUGCAUGGGUUAGGGUUAGGGUUGGAGCUAGUGUUAGGGUUAGGGUUGGAGCUAGGGUUAGGGUUAGGGUUAGGGUUGGAGUUAGGGUAAGUGUUGGAGCUAGGGUUAGGUUUGGGCUUGGAGCUAGGAUUUUUCUGAGUGCAAUGAACCAACUCCCGAGUCUCUAGGACGUUCCUAUAAAAAUUUGAUUUUUUCCCAUAGGAAUGCAU
rnacentral:lncRNA from 1 species